UACGGAGGGGGCUAGCGUUGUUCGGAAUUACUGGGCGUAAAGCGCGCGUAGGCGGACCUGCAAGUCGGGGGUGAAAGCCCGAGGCUCAACCUCGGAACUGCCUUCGAUACUGCGGGUCUCGAGUCCGGGAGAGGUGAGUGGAAUUCCUAGUGUAGAGGUGAAAUUCGUAGAUAUUAGGAAGAACACCAGUGGCGAAGGCGGCUCACUGGCUCAUUACUGACGCUCAUGCGCGACAGCGUGGGGAUCAAACAGG
rnacentral:rRNA from 1 species